rnacentral:rRNA from 1 species
CCCUUGAUGUUCUGGGCCGCACGCGUGCUACACUGAGUAAAUCAAUGGGUAAGGGAACACGAAAGUGCAACCUAAUCUUGAAAUUUGCUCGUGAUGGGGAUCGACGGUUGCAAUUUUCCGUCGUGAACGAGGAAUACCUUGUAGGCGCGUGUCAUCAUCACGCGCCGAAUACGUCCCUGCCCUUUGUACACACCGCCCGUCGCUCCUACCGAUUGAGUGAUCCGGUGAGGCUCUGGGACCUGGACGGAAAGAGCGUUUCGCUUGUUCUGUUUGGGAAACUUGGUCGAACCUUAUCAUUUAGAGGAAGGAGAAGUCGUAACA